rnacentral:lncRNA from 1 species
GGACUAUGUUUGAGGGGUGUUGUAUGACCCCGUUUUCCAUACCCAGCCAACUUGUCAUGUGACAAGUCCACAGAAAGAUGUUAUAUGACAGGAAUCUAUGAACUAGUCUUCCCUGAAAUGUACCUGACUACAGCUAACAUCAUAUCACAUGAUGAAAGACCGCGUUGUUUUCCCCUGAGGUUGGCAUGGGGACCUAUUGCUCACAGGAAGAAAAAAACAGCGUCCUUAUUUUGUGACUUCUGGCAACUGUCUUUUUCCGAGGAAGCCCCUUCCCUUCUGCCCUGCCUCUGAGUUCAAGCCGGGAUGCAGCUCCUAGUGUUUUCAAGCGUCUUACAGAUGGAGAUCAGCCCCGUCUUCCUCCAACGUCCCCACCCCGCAUCGGAGUCAGGACUCCACGGUGCUGUGGUCAGCACGGCUGCAUGGUCCUGCGACCCUGAGCCCCAGUGGGCUCUGACUGUGGUUACCAGCGCCUUAGGAGACAGAGUAACAGUCUGGAAGCAGAAACAGAGACUGUCCAUUUCAUAAACAGCCACAUCCGCAAGGUUUAUUCCUGGAUCACAAACCAACCCCACUGACCAAACUCCCAAGUCACUUUAUAUUAAACUUGUUAUCAAAUCACCCACAUAAAUAUAUAUAAUAAAUACAAAAA